rnacentral:misc_RNA from 1 species
UUGCAUUGGGCAGGGAACUGGCCCGAGUCGGACAUUAGCGAACCUGAUGCCGUGACGCGUAGAACCAACCCCACCGUGAAGAAACCUUUACAGGCUGUACGUAGGGCCGUGCCGUCGCCCCUCCUUCCUUCGUCGAUCUCUCUCUCGGCGACGACUGGGCGACCGCUGCCUCCUGUUGCCCUGGUCUCCAUUGGGCCCUUUGCCAGAUUUUCUUUCGCCUCUCCGCCGGCGACGAACACCACCACCAGGAAUGGGCUUGUGGACGUUGCUGGAGGGUUUUUUGCUUCUUGCAAAUGCGUUGGCUAUAUUGAAUGA